UCCUUUUCAGUACUAACACAGAGCCUCUGAUUUUCUUGGGAGCAGUGUAAAAGGCUGUGCUAGCAGCUUUAUUUAUUUUUAUAUCAGAUGCCUGUUUUCAACUGAACAUAACAAAAUGAGGGCACCUGUUCAAGCAGCUCACUGGAUUCCUGCAAAAAAACUGAGGAGAGUUCGGGAUCAUUCCAAAUUCAUCUACAAAACUCAUAAAGAGGUUCACUGUGCAAAGAUGGAAAUUUCAGAUUUCCUGUCCAGUCAGCAUCUCUGUUUCCCCAGACCUCUCCUACUCAGACUGGUGAGCUCUGAAGCAUCUCGGCUGUCAAAGCGCAACAGACUGAGACUCAUCACUCUGCAGGAGGUUGAUGCUGCUGUCGCACUCUUAAAAAAGAUGACUCGUGCAAGAGCUGCUGCAUGAAGUAUUGGACUCUAUAAACGUUCUUUUACUGUGGUGUUAAUAAAAGUACAUUUUUAAACUGUA